UUCCUCAUUUUUCACCAUCCUCCGUUCGUUCGUUCCCUUCCCUUUCCAUUGUUGCGUUUAAGCCCUCCAAUUUUCUUUUGGCGUCCCGUUUUGGGGCUCCCUUGAAGAUCUCCUCUUCAUUUCGAUUUCCUGCCUUCGCCGCGCCAUUUGAAGUUCUUUUUCUGAGAGAAGAAUUUAGACAUGGCUGAUCGCAUGUUGACUCGAAGCCACAGCCUUCGCGAGCGUUUGGACGAGACCCUCUCUGCUCACCGCAACGAUAUUGUGGCCUUCCUUUCAAGGGUUGAAGCCAAGGGCAAAGGCAUCUUGCAGCGCCACCAGAUUUUUGCUGAGUUUGAGGCCAUCUCUGAGGAGAGCAGAACAAAGCUUGAUGGGGCCUUCGGUGAAGUCCUCAAAUCCACUCAGGAAGCGAUUGUGUCGCCUCCAUGGGUUGCUCUUGCUGUUCGUCCAAGGCCGGGUGUGGGAGCACAUCCGUGUGAACGUCCAUGCGCUUGUUCUUUGAGCAAUUGGAGGUUGCUGAGUAUCUGCACUUCAAAGAAGAGCUUGCUGAUGGAAGCUUGAAUGGCAACUUCUUGCAUGAGCUUGACUUUGAGCCAUUCACUGCCUCUUUUCCGCGCCCGACUCUUUCCAAGUCUAUUGGCAAUGGCGUCGAGUUUCUCAAUCGCCAUCUCUCCGCUAAGCUCUUCCAUGACAAGGAAAGCUUGCACCCUCUGCUUGAAUUCCUCCAAGUCCACUGCUACAAGGGGAAGAACAUGAUGGUGAAUGCCAGAAUCCAGAAUGUGUUCUCCCUCCAACAUGUCCUGAGGAAGGCGGAGGAGUAUCUGAUCACGCUCAAACCCGAGACCCCGUACUCCCAGUUCGAGCACAAGUUCCAGGAGAUCGGGCUCGAGCGGGGGUGGGGUGACACGGCUGAGCGCGUCCUUGAGAUGAUCCAGCUCCUGUUGGAUCUCCUUGAGGCUCCCGAUCCGUGCACUCUCGAGAAGUUCUUGGAUAGGGUUCCCAUGGUCUUCAACGUCGUGAUCAUGUCUCCCAUGGAUACUUUGCUCAGGACGAUGUCCUUGGUUAUCCGGAUACCGGUGGCCAGGUUGUUUACAUCCUGGAUCAAGUUCGUGCCCUAGAGGAAGAAAUGCUUCACCGCAUUAAGCAACAAGGACUGGAUAUUACUCCUCGGAUUCUCAUUAUCACUCGGCUUCUUCCAGAUGCGGUUGGAACCACCUGUGGCCAGCGCCUUGAGAAAGUUUUGGGACCGAGUACUCCACAUUCUUCGCGUCCCCUUCAGAAAUGAGAAGGAGUCGUCCGCAAGUGGAUUUCCCGGUUCGAGGUGUGGCCCUAUUUGGAAAGAUACACUGAGGAUGUCGCGAGCGAACUUGCUGGAGAGUUGCAGGGCAACCUGAUCUGAUCAUCGGAAACUACAGUGAUGGAAACAUUGUUGCUUCCUUGUUAGCACAUAAAUUAGGUGUUACACAGUGUACAAUAGCCCAUGCCCUCGAGAAGACGAAGUACCCAGAGUCAGACAUAUACUGGAAGAAAUUUGAGGAAAAGUACCACUUCUCUUGCCAGUUCACUGCUGAUCUCAUCGCCAUGAACCACACCGACUUCAUUAUCACCAGCACCUUCCAAGAAAUUGCUGGAAGCAAGGAUACAGUGGGGCAGUAUGAGAGUCACAUGAACUUCACUCUUCCUGGACUCUACCGAGUUGUCCACGGGAUCGACGUCUUCGACCCGAAGUUCAACAUUGUUUCACCAGGUGCUGACAUGAGCAUCUACUUUGCUUACACCGAACAGGAGCGGCGGUUGAAAUCCUUCCACCCUGAGAUCGAGGAACUCCUCUUCAGCGAUGUUGAGAACAAGGAACACUUGUGUGUGUUGAAAGAUAAGAAGAAGCCUAUUAUUUUCACCAUGGCAAGGCUGGACCGUGUCAAGAACUUGACAGGGCUUGUUGAGUGGUAUGGCAAGAACUCCAAGUUGAGGGAACUCGCCAACUUGGUCGUGGUUGGAGGUGACAGGAGGAAGGAUUCGAAGGACUUGGAAGAGCAGUCUGAGAUGAAGAAAAUGUACGACCUCAUCGAAAAGUACAAGCUGAAUGGCCAGUGCAGGUGGAUUUCAUUUCAGAUGAACCGGGUGAGGAACGGAGAGCUCUACCGCUACAUCUGCGACAUGAAAGGAGUCUUCGUUCAACCAGCUAUCUAUGAUGCUUUCGGGAUGACCGUGGUUGAGGCCAUGACAUGUGGAUUGCCGACCUUUGCCACUUGCAAUGGCGCAACAGCUGAUAUCAUCAUGCAUGGUAAAUCAGGCUACCACAUUGAUCCUUACCAUGGUGAACAGGUGGCUGAGCUUCUUGUGGACUUCUUCGAGAAGUGCAAGACCGACCAGAGCCACUGGGACAAAAUCUCGAAGGGCGCCAUGCAGAGAAUUGAAGAGAAGUAUACAUGGAAAAUAUAUUCUGAGAGGCUGUUGAACCUGACUGCCGUGUAUGGCUUCUGGAAGCAUGUGACUAACCUUGAUCGGCGAGAGUCGCCGGUACCUUGAAAUGUUCUAUGCCCUCAAGUAUCGCCCACUGGCACAGUCUGUUCCUCCGGCUGUCGAGUAAACAAAGAGACAGAUUGUUACCAGAAGACGGAAGCAUUGGACUUUUGAAGUUUUCAAGGAAUAAACAUUGGAAAUUGUUUGAAUUUGGGAUUGCCAAGAGCGAUCUUUUUAUUUCCUUUUUUUGGUCCUUUUCUCUCCUUUGUUUCCAUUCCGCGAAUGUUUGCAUUUUGGGGUUUGUACCCAUCAAUUCAGUAAAUGGUUCAUUUUCUUUUCAACUUGUCAAUCCCACUCCGUAUUUCGUA